rnacentral:rRNA from 1 species
UACGUAGGGUGCAGGCGUUAAUCGGAAUUACUGGGCGUAAAGCGUGCGCAGGCGGUUUCUUAAGUCAGAUGUGAAAUCCCCGGGCUUAACCUGGGAAUGGCAUUUGGGACUGCAAGGCUGGAGUAUGGCAGAGGGGACUAGAAUUCCUGGUGUAGCAGUGAAAUGCGUAGAUAUCAGGAGGAAUACCGAUGGCGAAGGCAGGUCCCUGGGCCAAUACUGACGCUCAUGCACGAAAGCGUGGGGAGCAAACAGG